rnacentral:rRNA from 1 species
CAAUAGCGUAUAUUAAAGUUGUUGCGGUUAAAAAGCUCGUAGUUGGAUUUCUGCCGAGGACGACCGGUCCGCCCUCUGGGUGAGCAUCUGGCUCGGCUUGGGCAUCUUCUUGGAGAACGUAUCUGCACUUGACUGUGUGGUGCGGUAUCCAGGACUUUUACUUUGAGGAAAUUAGAGUGUUUCAAGCAGGCACACGCCUUGAAUACGUUAGCAUGGAAUAAUAAGAUACGGACCCAGUUCUUAUUUUUGUUUUGGUUUCUAGAGCUAGAGGUAAUUAGAGUUAAUAGGGUAGGUAGUUGGGGGUCAUUUACGUAUUUAACUGUC